rnacentral:rRNA from 1 species
UACGGAGGGUGCGAGCGGUAUUCGGAAUUAUUGGGCGUAAAGCGCACGCAGGCGGCGUGUUAAGUAUGAUGUGAAAGCCCAGAGCUUAACCGUGGAAUUGCAUUUAAAACUGGCAUGCUAGAGUCCUGCAGAGGGGAGUGGAAUUCUAGGUGGAGCGGUGAAAUGCGUAGAGAUAUGGAGGAAUACCAGUGGCGAAGGCGGCUCGCUGGACUAAGAUUGACGCUCAGGUGCGAAAGCGUGGGGAGCAAACAGG